GCCCUAUUGUCAAGUCACCUAUACUGCGACGGGCGCAGGCUAGGUCACCAUUUGCUCCGGCAUAUAUGCCAAUGCACUGUACUGGACUGUCCGGGUUGGAAUCAUUACAGCCUGAUUUGUUAUGGGAACUAAAAACCAUACCUUGGGUCUGUACCUGUAGACAGUGACAGUGGGUCCAAUUUGGAAAGCAGGAUACAUUGCUCCACAUAUAGUCAUUCCAGGGCAUAUUGCUAUACUCAGCUGAGGGUCCGGUUCUGUUUAUCAUUAGCCAUGGGGACCCAUCCCAUGCUACCACCAUUAGGGAAGCUUUCCUGUUGCUAUCUUUAGAUUUUACCUCAUUUAUACUAGAAAG